GGGGGAAAGAUUUAUCGCUAUUAGAUGAGCCUAUGUCAGAUUAGCUAGUUGGUGGGGUAAUGGCCCACCAAGGCUGUGAUCUGUAGCUGGUCUGAGAGGAUGAUCAGCCACACUGGAACUGAGACACGGUCCAGACUCCUACGGGAGGCAGCAGUGGGGAAUAUUGGACAAUGGGCGCAAGCCUGAUCCAGCUAUGCCGCGUGAGUGAGGAAGGCCUUAGGGUUGUAAAACUCUUUCAGUAGGGAAGAUAAUGACGGUACCUACAGAAGAAGUCCCGGCAAACUCCGUGCCAGCAGCCGCGGUAAUACGGAGGGGGCAAGCGUUGUUCGGAAUUAUUGGGCGUAAAGGGCAUGUAGGCGGUUUGGUAAGUUAAAGGUGAAAUGCCAGGGCUUAACCCUGGGGCUGCUUUUAAUACUGCAGGACUAGAGUCCGGAAGAGGAUAGCGGAAUUCCUAG
rnacentral:rRNA from 1 species